ACGGAGGAUGCAAGCGUUAUCCGGAUUCAUUGGGUUUAAAGGGUGCGCAGGCGGAAUGAUAAGUCUGUGGUGAAAUCUCUAGGCUCAACUGCGAAUCUGCACCUGAUACUGUUGUACUUGAGUACACUAGAAGUGAACGGAAUGCGUCGUGUAGCGGUGAAAUGCUUAGAUAUGACGCAGAACACCGAUCGCGAAGGCAGCUCACUAAAUUGUAACUGACACUCAGGCACGAAAGCGUGGGGAUCAAACGG
rnacentral:rRNA from 1 species